UACGUAGGCAGCAAGCGUUGUUCGGAGUUACUGGGCGUAAAGGGUGCGUAGGCGGCUUCUUAAGUCUGGUGUGAAAUCUCCCGGCUCAACUGGGAGGGUGCGCCGAAUACUGAGUGACUAGAGUGCGGGAGAGGAAAGUGGAAUUCCUGGUGUAGCGGUGAAAUGCGUAGAUAUCAGGAGGAACACCGGUGGUGUAGACGGCUUUCUGGACCGUAACUGACGCUGAGACACGAAAGCGUGGGUAGCAAACAGG
rnacentral:rRNA from 1 species